CAAUUGCUCUCUGCAAGUCAGAGAGCUGUUCAGAUGAGCUGGGGUAUCUGGAUGUCUAAGCAAACCUGCAUCAAAGUACAGAAUGCCUUAGUGCCGUGUUAUUUGUGUUUUUGCUUUUCACGUGUUGUCUUGCAACAGCAGGGGGUGUUUGCUCCAGGGCUGUGGUUUCCUGGUGCAUGUUGUACCUUACGUGGUUCGUGGUCACUCUGGUGGGUAGGAGCAGAGGAGCCCAGCUGGGAUUGCCAGCUCUGAAGUGUUUGAGCUUCCUCAGCAAAGCCUGCAUCAGCCUGAAGCGCACAUAGCUUCUCUCCUGGAGGAGACUAUGUGAAGAGGUGGGAGAAGGGGAAGAUAUAUCCCUACCUGGAGUAUAGGAAAGGGCACUGAGAAAACACCUGUAAAGGAAGGAAUCUAAGCAGGGCCAGCAUUCACGGUGCCAGGCUUCAGACACUUGGAACACAGGGUGUUUGGGCUGUGUAAUAGAUCUUCUGUUGGAGCAAAAGCAAGUAAAUGUGUUCUAAGGGCAUGGGUGAGGGGUGGAGAUAGUAACUCAAAACAUGUGCAAGGAAAACACAAAGAUGAGAUCAGCUGUGAGGGAAGGAGGCCAAAGUCUGGGUAAAAGUGGAAAAGAAAUGAGGGAGGCAGAAUAGGGAAAGUUAUCCCGCCUGCUUUGACAGUUCAGGGACUAAAGCCACUGUACAUGUCAACGGUUUAAUGCAAGCAAUGGAUCAGAAACUAUAUUUGUGUGAAGUAAACUGAAGUGACUCUGACAUCCACACCUGUUACAAAAUGAUGGCGCUCUUCCUGGAAUGGAAAGGGAAGUUCACACACUGGAGAGUGGUAGUGGUAUAAAAAGUAGUAGAAGGGAGGGCUUUAUUACUCUCCUAGUCAUCCUUAACCCUUUUCUGAUGGAAAAUGUUGCAUCAACUUAACAACUGUUCUCCUGCUGUGCAUCCUGGGUGAGGGAGAGUGCGUGACGCCUGCGGCACAGCCUUGCCGUUGGUCCUGCAGGGAGCCAGCAUGGGACAAAGCAGAAUGGUGAGGGGCCUGGAGACCUUUCACGGCUGUGCCUGAAGCCCUGGUGGAAAGAUAGACAGGAGAAGAGCUGGUAAUGCUAUUUUCUACACCAGAGUGCCAAGAUAGUGUAACAAGUAAUUUCUGUAACAGCCAGAUGUGACAACAGCAGGAGCAGCAACUGGAAGAUCACAGUGCAUCUGGAUAAGGGAAUUUUACAUCUUUGUUUUGGUCACUGUUAAUUUCUUCCUGUUCUUAAUAAUCAUGCUGUCAAAUGCCCCUUCCUUUCAGCAAGUGGGUGUGCAAGGAGCCAUGUCGGUAGCCAUGUGCGUGUGUGAGGAGCUGGUUGUAUCUCACAAACCAAUCUGGAGGAGUAAAGUGAAGGUUUGCAUGGCCACCAAGUCAGGCUGUGGGGCAAUUUUGAUUUAAUUGUGUGCCAUAUAUGGCAACGGGUAUCGUUGUAUUUUUCAGCUUAGCUUUUUCUAACAGUUUUAGGUACCUCAUGUGGGGAAAGCAGUAUCUUUUAAAGAAUGCAUUCUAUAUUUGGUAAUGAUUCAAGGCACGAAUGUGUCUGAAGGAAAAAGGCUUUUCAAGUGGAGUGCUGCUGGCUCAAAGGUUCCCCAGCAAACUCUGCCGGGCUCUGCCUCUGAGCCGGGCUGCCCUCUCCCUGGCCCGAGCCUUGAGGGAUCAAUUCGGAAACUGUUUGACACUCUGCACGAUAUUCUUCAAUGGCCUCUUUCUUCUCUGGAAGAAAGAUGCAUGGAAAUGUCAGAGAGAAUUAACAGCUGGGAUGAGUGGGUGGCAAGGACUGAAAACUGUACGGAGACGAUUGAGAGGGGCACUGUCCCACAAGGAAGCAGCUACUAAUACUGCACAGGUGGGUUUGAAAAUAUUGGUUUGGUUUUGUUUUGAAGCAUAAUACAGCCUUAAAUUAAAAUUAAAAAAAAAAAAAAGAGGAAAUGAAAAGUGGAAAAACGAGUUCUGAACAGGCUCUAAUCUCCAGCCAGUAUCUUGGCAAUAGCACUAAUUGACAAAAUGUUGAGAGUGGCUUCUGUUAACAUUCAGACUGAAAAGCACCUGGUUGGAUGUAAUGUCCAGGGCUGUUAUGAUACACUUCCUAUGCACGAAUGUGUGGAAUGGCCCAACGUGGGGUGCCUGGGCCCGGCGGUGGCUCUGCGGUGGGCUUUGCAUCUCCCCUUCAGAUGCUGAAGCACCCAAGGGCACGCUGAGCUGCUGUGGGAUUUGGAGCCGCUGGAGGACCCACAGCGAUGCCUUCCACUGUUUGGCUUCUGCAGAGCUACAGUUUUCCUUUGGCAUCCAAGAGAGAAGAGAUGUCAGACAGUUGAUACCAGAGCUGCCACCUGACUCGUCGCUGAAUGCCAAAGCACGCCUCUGUGUUCUACUUAACACUGGCAUGUGCAGAGCUUGGACAGAUCUCCUGUUGGCCUCAUUCUUUGAAGAUCUGUCACCAGUGUUUGAGAAGAGUCAUGGCCUUUAGAUGUGUGCAUGGACUGGGUGAUUAGACUACUUAUUCAUAGGUUCUUCCCCUUCUGCAGCUAGGCUGCAUGCCUCACAUCUUUGGGCAACUGCAGAAAGAAGCUGGAGCUGGUGUGUUACUGCUGUCAGCUGUACCGUCCACUAGUUUGAGAGGCCUUUCCUUAUCCUAUGAACAACUUCCACUGGAUGCAAGUGCUUCAAUGGAAUCAAAUGUCUCCCCUGUGAACAGCUGGAUCCAGGAUGAACUCAAGUCAGGCAACUACCUCCAACUACCUUGUGCUGACAAAUGAAACCUCUCAAGUCAACCUGCCAGUUUGUCCUGCAGUCCUGUCAAAAGAUUCUAUUCCUAAGCAAACGGGUCUAUAUGCGAUGCAGAAAUUGAGUGCAAUCCCUAUGAAUAGCAGCUGAAUCUCUUUUCAUGUUUGCUAAGGUUUAAACUGAAGAUGAAGGCCAACAUUCAGGAUGAGGUUGGAUUUGAGUAAAUGUGGUCUGAUUCAAAACCUUGACAUUAUUUUGUUUUUCUUUGGUACCACACAAAUAUUUUGUUUAAAAACCAGAACCAUAUGGCUCUCCAGAUUUUACUGAAGUUGUUCCACUACUUGACUGUAUUGCCUCAAAUUCAGAAGACACCUCCCUGAACUGUUUUUUGUGUCCUAGUUACUUCUUCAGGCCUGUGAUUUACAGGUAUUCUGCUUGUUGCCCUUUUAGUUUUAAGGUAACUUGUUGAACUGAUUCCCUACCAGUCCUUCAAUUUAAAUCCCAGCCUUUUAAAACAACUGAGUUCCAGUUUUUACAGAAUACAGUACAGAAUACACCGCACCAGCGUGCAUUCCUGCCUAUCUUGUCCAGUUGCAUUCUAGACUUCUGUAUGACAAAAAAACCACUUUAUGGAGGAACAGUGUAACACACAUGUGAACACUGAGCUGGACCACAUACCAACAAUCCUUCAGUAAUACCUUCCUUUAAAGACAGGGUCACUGGCAGAAGGGCCUAUUGAAACCAGAAAUAAUAUAUUGUAACUCAGAAGUUUCAAAGGAGUGUACAAACAGAAAAGACAUUUCCAUGUACUGCUGGCACUGCACCUGACAGAAGAUGAGUUAACUGGUGCACUUCCUUCAGAAUUUGUGCAACUCUAAGAUGUAAAGCAACAAGAUGCAGUUACAGUGCUCAAAUAAAGCAAUGAGCUAAAAACUGGAGAGGUGUUAGUUGUAGCUUUCUUUCUAACUUGCACGAUCUUUCACAGCCUUCCCUAAAGUUUCAUCAGAAUCUCUCCUAAACUCCUCUGCUAUUUACAGUAAAGUCUGUAUCUCAACUGUGAAAUGGCCACAUUUUGGAGUAUGGUAAAGUUAUUCUUGUCAUGUAUAGACCAGUUGUGCUUUAUCUACGUAGCUCAACUUAGAUACAACACAUCCUUUUCUGCAAAUAGACUGGGAACUGGUCACUGGACCUACAGUUUACCAGAAGAAGCCUAGAAAGAGGGCUUUAAGAGGGAAGGCUUUUCAAUAAUGUACCUGUCAAGGUUAGUUUAUUCAGGUCACAUACUGAGACAUGACAUUUGAUGAUUAAUCUCAAAUAAGAGGAAACAGUGGCUCCUCUGAUUGGGCAACAAACUCAGCCUCACUGGUGAUCUCAAGUCAGUGCUAAUUCAGCAAGAAGACUACCACCUAACAGAGCUCCCAUACAGUACAGAUGCAAUACCUGUUAGAUUCAGGGCUUUUCUAGAUUGAUUUCAUUCUAGUAUGUCGAUAGACAAAAAGCUACAACUAGUAUCUUUUCUUGUUUCCUUUUAUUCUUGAAUAUUUUUGUUUUUUGUUUCGCAUGUGUUCUUUAUCUUCACUGCAAAGCUGCAAACUAAAACUUUCUUAUCAGGUUUUUAUUCAACAUUUGCAAAUCUUUUUGCUUCUUUUUUUUUUUUGUAAUAUAGCACAUCUAUUUCUUUGGCAAAUUUCUUGUAACUUAACUUUCUCUUUUAAUACUCACAUCUAUUCUAUUAUUCUUCUCUUUUUAAUCUGAAUUUAAUAUUAACAUCACAGCAUCCCCCUAAUUUAAAGAAUUGGACUAGAAACGUUGGUGGUCCUCAGCUGGUCCUCAGUUCUAUUAACAUCCGAGUCUUAAUGAGCUAAAAAACUCUCAAUGUAUAAAAGCAACCCCAAUAGUUGUAUUUCAGAUUAUUCUGUCCUUAAGCACUGCAGCUAUGCCACAAGCCUGCAAACCAAUCCAUACAGGUAAACUUUUAGAUCAGCAGUGGCUUGCUGAAGUCACAAGAGCUCUCAAAAUACAUCCAAUUGUAGAAGCAAUUCCAGUUUAGGUCCUAGACAACAUACUUCAUCUAAAACAAAAAAAACUGAUACUAUUUAGUAAUACCCUUUUAAUUAGCAAGGCCCGUUUUCUUAAUGUCAUUCCCACCUUCCCAGUAUACAAACAGGAAUCAUUUCUUGUACAGUUCAAUCUUUAAAUGAACUGUAUCAGAAGUUCAAAGUUACUGUAAUAAUUCUGAUUCCAGCAUGACAGUGUAUCAUCCAAUUCACUAAAAAUGUCUAAUGCUGUACAGGAAAUUUCAGAUUUAAACCAGCUGUAGAAGACUUUUUUUAGAUCCUACAGCAGCCUUACACUGCACAUAAUCUCGCAUUUUCAUCUUGCCCCUGAAACUUGCUUGUGUAUAUAUAUGUAAUCCUUUUUAAGGUUGUGUAUUCUAGCUUAUACUGGUCAAAAAGUAUUUCUGACAUUAUCAUAUUAUUACGCCAAAUAAGCGUGACUUCUGUUCCUAGUCACUACUUGUGCUUCUUAGGGAGUACUGAAACUAAAAUAAGUAAGACUACAAAACAUGCAGUAAGAGCAAUCUUCUGCUGAUGGGAAGAUACUGCUGGCUUCCUCCAUCGUGACUUCCUGCCAUUACAUUCACAUUAUCAUGGUCUGUUUUUCCUGGUCUGUGAUAGUUUUGGGCUAAGGCUGGGCACUUACUGCAAGGUCAUAGUGAUGGGCUGAUUCAGAAGCACUGUUUAUUCUCCGUUUGGAGAAUAUGCUGACAAUCCUGGCCAGCAGAAUUCCCUGGCUAGCCGAUAGCUUCAGCUACCUAGCACAAACACGGACAGAUAAGAAUAUGCUUAACCUAUCUCCCAUGGAAUUCUCAGUGACAACAGUUCUUCAGCCCAGUGCUUUUCAACCUCAUUCACAGACCUCCAGAAUUCUCUAUGAAAGAUAACUAAGAAAAAAGCAUGCUCUGGGGAGCCUGGAAGCUGAGGGUCGCCUGCUGCCAUGGCCUACGUGCUGCUGCAUCACGCCUCAGAUGUGGGGCAGCCGAGGCCACGCUGGGCUGGUGCACCCUUAAGGGAACCCCUCAUGAGCUCUGGGGGUGCGACAGAAGCAGGCCCUGCCAAUCGUCUGUGCACCAUCACGUACACGGACAGUGCUUUAUACCGAUUUCCUGUCAGAGUUCAGUUUCCUACGUUUCCUCGUGUUGCAAAACACGAAGGACAGAGCAGCCAACCGAUCAUAAGGGGAAUCUUGUCAGCGCCCAUUACUGUGACUGAAAGAAGCCCGUGUGCGAGAAUAACUGCUUGGCCCCUUCUCUGAGGCUCUGCUGAGCCCUCGCGUCUCUGGAGGGCUGUGCCUGACGCGGGAGCCGCUCAGCCGGCCGCCAGGUGCGAGCCGCGGCCGCCAGCUCCUUA
ensembl:lncRNA